rnacentral:rRNA from 1 species
CUGCCCAGUGAAACAAAUUUUCAACGGCCGCGGUAUCCUAACCGUGCAAAGGUAGCAUAAUCACUUGCCUAUUAAUUGUAGGCUAGAAUGAACGGAUCAACGAAAUAAUAACUGUCUCAAUCAAUAAACUAAAAAUUAUUUUCUAUAUGAAGAAAAAUAGAUAAAUUCGAAGGACAAGAAGACCCUAUAGAGCUUAAUUUAUAUUCAAUAAAAAAAUUGAUAAAAAUUCGGUUGGGGCGACCUAGGGAAUCAAUUAUCACCCUUUAUUAAAAAGAUGUAUAUAUCUAAUAAAAGACCCUAAAAAGAUCAAUAAAUCAAGCUACCUUAGGGAUAACAGGCUAAUCCUAUUAAAGAGUUCUUAUCGACAAUAGGGGUUGGCACCUCGAUGUUGGCUUAGGAUAUCUAUACGGCGCAAAAGUUGUAUAAAGAUGGUUUGUUCAACCAAUAAUAUCCU